UACGAAGGGGGCUAGCGUUGCUCGGAAUCACUGGGCGUAAAGGGUGCGUAGGCGGGUCUUUAAGUCAGGGGUGAAAUCCCGAGGCUCAACCUCGGAACUGCCUUUGAUACUGGGGAUCUCGAGUCCGGGAGAGGUGAGUGGAACUGCGAGUGUAGAGGUGAAAUUCGUAGAUAUUCGCAAGAACACCAGUGGCGAAGGCGGCUCACUGGCCCGGAACUGACGCUGAGGUGCGAAAGCGUGGGGAGCAAACAGGG
rnacentral:rRNA from 1 species